rnacentral:lncRNA from 1 species
CACUCACUCAAAAGGACACAUUCUGGACUUAAUCUGCUGCUCAGGUAUCAUACCCAUGGACUGUAAAUCAAACUUCAUCCCAUUUUUCCGAUCAUAUGCUUGUGACAUUUAAUGUCAAUUUGUUUCUUUCCAAACACAAACCUUCAUGCAAUAUUACCUUCCGAAAUGCUAAGGAUAUCAACCUGGAGAUUUUAUCUGCCCUGAUCAGUAAACUCCCAAAUACAGACAGUUUUACAGCUCCAGAUCAACUUGUUUCACACUACAACACACACCUGCACCACAUCCUCAACGCACUUGCUCCACUCAAAUCCAGAUCUGUCUCAUUUACCUAUACUGCACCCUGGUACACCCCCACUCUCAGACAGUUAAAAGCAAAAGGUCGCCAACUUGAAAGACUCUACGCCAAAACCGGACUAACUAUCCAGAAAGACAUGUACACACAGCACAUUCUCCACUAUAAAGAGUGCAUCUCCAAAACCAAAUCUGCCUACUACUCCAAUCUAAUCAAUUCAAAAAAAGAAAAUUCAAAGAUUCUUUUCUCCCUCAUCUCUAACAUCACCAAACCUCCUGACUCCCUUCCAUCAUAUCUCUAUUCAACUGAUUUCUGCAACACCUUGGCUUCAUUUUUCACCACAAAAAUCCACCUUAUCCAUCAACAGCUUUCCCCCAACUCUGCUCCAUUUCUGUCUUCCAUUCCGUCUUUUACUUUUGAUGAUUCGUUUUCUUCAUUUACCCUACCCACAGUUAGUCAAAUAUCUACAUUUAUUAAAAAAUCCAAACCUUCCACAUGCCAGCUUGACCCACUGCCCACCAUCCUUGUUAAAGCUACUGCUCCCUCUCUUUGUCCUCUCAUCACCAACAUAAUCCAUGCUUCCCUCACCUCUGGAAUUGUUCCUCCUGCACUGAAAACUGCUGCUGUCAAUCCCAUACUUAAAAAAUUGGGUGCAGAUCCCACAGACCUCAACAAUUACCGUCCCAUUUCCAACCUUCCAUUCAUUUCAAAAAU